ACUCAAAUGAAUUGACGGGGGCCCGCACAAGCGGUGGAGCAUGUGGUUCAAUUCGACGCAACGCGCAGAACCUUACCUGGGUUGGAACCCCCUAGAAGUCCUUAGAGAUGAGGAUGUGCUCGCAAGAGAACUAGGUGUCCAGGUGCUGCAUGGCUGUCGUCAGCUCGUGUCGUGAGAUGUUGGGUUAAGUCCCGCAACGAGCGCAACCCUUGUCGUUAGUUGCUAACAGUUAGGCUGAGCACUCUAACGAGACUGCCGGUGUUAAACCGGAGGAAGGUGGGGAUGACGUCAAGUCCUCAUGGCCCUUAUGCCCAGGGCUACACACGUGCUACAAUGGCCGGUACAAAGCGUUGCUAACCCGCGAGGGGGAGCCAAUCGCAAAAAACCGGCCUCAGUUCAGAUUGCAGUCUGCAACUCGACUGCAUGAAGUUGGAAUCGCUAGUAAUCCCUGAUCAGCAGGCAGGGGUGAAUACGUUCCCGGGCCUUGCACACACCGCCCGU
rnacentral:rRNA from 1 species